rnacentral:misc_RNA from 2 species
UCACCCCUCAAGCCCCGUGCUUGGUGUUGGACGGCCUGGUCGCGGCGAACGCUGCGACCCCUCCCAAAGACAAUGACGGCGGCCUGUGGCUCCCCCGGCACACUGAGCUUCUCACCGAGCACGUGUCGGAUCGCGGGCGUCCAGGUCCCGGUCGGCUCCCCCACCAGGGAAAUAUUUAUCAA